rnacentral:tRNA from 1 species
GGCCGCAUAGCUCAGCGGUAGAGCAUUUCCCUGUUGCGGAAAAGGUCGGGAGUUCGAUUCUCUCUGCGGCCG